AUCGUGACCUGGGUCCUUCUCCCAUCCCGUUCCACGGCCCAGCAACAUCCAGUUACUGAGGGAGAAGGAGAUCACACCAUCCAAUGGGACCUUCUUUCAUGCGUUCUUGAUUCCAGGAGAUGAACUUGGUGCUCCCUUUCCGGAUGAUCGUUUGGAUCCGGAUUUUGUGCCUGUGCCUCUGGGACAACCCAGAGGCCCUGCUGGUGAAUCAGCAGAACAGAACCCUGCCUCUGAGCCUGAAGGGGAUGCUGGAGAUGUGACUGGAGGAGGUGAUCCAGGUUCCGCUCUGAGCUCUGGGACUGAAACUCCGGCAGAUCGCAUGGGAGUGCCCCCAGGGAGGGCUUUGCCCGGUCAUGUGUUUCCUCCUGCGCUGGAGCCCAGCUGGAAUCCCAGAGGUCCGGAAAAAGGAAAGGAUGAAUCCAAAAGAGGAAAAUACUCCCAGGGCUCAUCCCGUCUCCUCAAGGAACUGGUGAAGGAAAUGGAGAAGGCAGCGCGUGGAACUGACCAACAAAGUGAGCAGGAUGCACUGCAGGAAGAAGGCAGCCAUCCCACACUGCCAGUCUCGGGCAGAGGAACGCAGGCAGCGCCAACAACUGUCAUGCCAGGGAUGAAUGCCGGGAUGAGCACAAAGGCUGCUGUUGGCAGAUCUGCGCGAAGGCGCCACAUCGCAGCGAUGGUACUGUUCUCAGCUGUGCUGCUGUCUGCGCUGGUGCUGGCCUGUGGUGCUGUGAUAUGGAUGUGCCAAAAAUACGUAGUGUGCAAGAGAGAAGAGAGAGCAGCAGAGCAGGCUCAUCCUGAUACCAACUAGGAGAGAGUUCCAACUGGAGACGAGGGCAGAACGGAGCUGGGAGAGGCAGCCGAAGAGACUCUUGCCCCAUCAAAGAAGAAUCUCAGCCAUCGUCCCAGUGCAUUCCAUUCUGCCAUCCAAGAGGCCAAAGGUCUUCAAAGUCAUCUGGAAGACUUGGAGCUUGAACUCAAAGCCGUGAAAGAGGUCCACGGGAACAGUCCUGAGUGCUGCUUUCUGUCAGGGGACGGCCCUGAAAGUGAGAGCGGAGAACCAGCAGCAGAGCUUUUGUCCUUCACCCUGCAUUCUCUGGGACAAGCAUCAGCAACAUUUCAAAGAAUCUUAGCUCGGCAUAGCUACAAUCCUGUUGAGGGUCCUAAUGAGGAGCCAGAAAGCGAGCUUCCUCUGACCGCUGGACAACACCUUAACGUCUUUGGAGCUGUGGAUGAGAAUGGCUGGUUUCAGGGAGAGCUGACAGAUGGCACAAGAGGACUGGUCCCAUCCAAUUUGGUUGCGGAGGUUUCAGAUGACGAACUGGAUACAACGAUGCCUCCGGAGCUCUGUGCUCUCCUGCUGGAUACUUGAUGAAUAAGUGGAUGCAGAGAUUCCAUCAUGCAGCAACAUCCUGUCAAAAUUCCUGCGUUACUCCAUCUGCAAGACUACCCCCUGCUCCACUUGAUGUUCAGGUGGAGUGUGUGCAGGACGUGGAUGAGCUCCUUUGGGAACACUCUGAGGUGACUGACAGUGUAACUGCAUAGUCUUGUGGUAUAUUAAACAAACAAACAAAAAAACACCACCCACAAUAAAACAAACAAC
rnacentral:lncRNA from 1 species